AGGAGAACGCUGGCGGCGUGCCUAAUACAUGCAAGUAGAACGCUGAAGAGAGGAGCUUGCUCUUCUUGGAUGAGUUGCGAACGGGUGAGUAACGCGUAGGUAACCUGCCUUGUAGCGGGGGAUAACUAUUGGAAACGAUAGCUAAUACCGCAUAACAAUGGAUGACACAUGUCAUUUAUUUGAAAGGGGCAAUUGCUCCACUACAAGAUGGACCUGCGUUGUAUUAGCUAGUAGGUGAGGUAAUGGCUCACCUAGGCGACGAUACAUAGCCGACCUGAGAGGGUGAUCGGCCACACUGGGACUGAGACACGGCCCAGACUCCUACGGGAGGCAGCAGUAGGGAAUCUUCGGCAAUGGGGGCAACCCUGACCGAGCAACGCCGCGUGAGUGAAGAAGGUUUUCGGAUCGUAAAGCUCUGUUGUAAGUCAAGAACGGGUGUGAGAGUGGAAAGUUCACACUGUGACGGUAGCUUACCAGAAAGGGACGGCUAACUACGUGCCAGCAGCCGCGGUAAUACGUAGGUCCCGAGCGUUGUCCGGAUUUAUUGGGCGUAAAGCGAGCGCAGGCGGUUUGAUAAGUCUGAAGUUAAAGGCUGUGGCUCAACCAUAGUUCGCUUUGGAAACUGUCAAACUUGAGUGCAGAAGGGGAGAGUGGAAUUCCAUGUGUAGCGGUGAAAUGCGUAGAUAUAUGGAGGAACACCGGUGGCGAAAGCGGCUCUCUGGUCUGUAACUGACGCUGAGGCUCGAAAGCGUGGGGAGCGAACAGGAUUAGAUACCCUGGUAGUCCACGCCGUAAACGAUGAGUGCUAGGUGUUGGAUCCUUUCCGGGAUUCAGUGCCGCAGCUAACGCAUUAAGCACUCCGCCUGGGGAGUACGACCGCAAGGUUGAAACUCAAAGGAAUUGACGGGGGCCCGCACAAGCGGUGGAGCAUGUGGUUUAAUUCGAAGCAACGCGAAGAACCUUACCAGGUCUUGACAUCCCGAUGCUAUUUCUAGAGAUAGAAAGUUACUUCGGUACAUCGGUGACAGGUGGUGCAUGGUUGUCGUCAGCUCGUGUCGUGAGAUGUUGGGUUAAGUCCCGCAACGAGCGCAACCCCUAUUGUUAGUUGCCAUCAUUCAGUUGGGCACUCUAGCGAGACUGCCGGUAAUAAACCGGAGGAAGGUGGGGAUGACGUCAAAUCAUCAUGCCCCUUAUGACCUGGGCUACACACGUGCUACAAUGGUUGGUACAACGAGUUGCGAGUCGGUGACGGCGAGCUAAUCUCUUAAAGCCAAUCUCAGUUCGGAUUGUAGGCUGCAACUCGCCUACAUGAAGUCGGAAUCGCUAGUAAUCGCGGAUCAGCACGCCGCGGUGAAUACGUUCCCGGGCCUUGUACACACCGCCCGUCACACCACGAGAGUUUGUAACACCCGAAGUCGGUGAGGUAACCUUUUGGAGCCAGCCGCCUAAGGUGGGACAGAUGAUUGGGGUGAAG
rnacentral:rRNA from 1 species